CAGCAGCCACGGUAAUACGGAGGGAGCUAGCGUUGUUCGGAAUUACUGGGCGUAAAGCGCGCGUAGGCGGUUACUCAAGUCAGAGGUGAAAUCCCAAGGCUCAACCUUGGAACUGCCUUUGAUACUGGAAGUCUUGAGUCCGGGAGAGGUGAGUGGAACUGCGAGUGUAGAGGUGAAAUUCGUAGAUAUUCGCAAGAACACCAGUGGCGAAGGCGGCUCACUGGCCCGGUACUGACGCUGAGGCGCGAAAGCGUGGGGAGCAAGCAGGAUUAGAUACCCGAGUAGUCCCUGUCUCUUAUAC
rnacentral:rRNA from 1 species